rnacentral:rRNA from 1 species
AUUGAACGCUGGCGGCGUGCUUAACACAUGCAAGUCGUGCGGUAACAGGCGUAGCAAUACGUGCUGACGAGCGGCGAACGGGUGCGUAAUACAUGGGAAUCUGCCCUUUAGUGGGGAAUAACCCGGCGAAAGCCGGGCUAAUGCCGCAUAAGAUCUUCGGAUGAAAGCGGGGGAUCGUAAGACCUCGCGCUGAUGGAUGAGCCCAUGUCGGAUUAGCAGUUGGUGAGGUAACGGCUCACCAAGGCGACGAUCCGUAGCUGGUCUGAGAGGACGGCCAGCCACACUGGGACUGAGACACGGCCCAGACUCCUACGGGAGGCAGCAGUGGGGAAUAUUGGACAAUGGGCGAAAGCCUGAUCCAGCGACGCCGCGUGUGUGAAGAAGGCCUGCGGGUUNUAAAGCACUUUCGAUGGGAACGAAAUGUGCCGGGCUAAUAUCCCGGCAAGCUGACGUUACUCAAUGAAGAAGCACU